ACCGUCACCCAAAAAACGGAGGAAUUUUACUCUCCCUCUCUCUCUCUCUCUCUCCAAAUCUCCCUCUUGCUCUUGAACUUUUUCUCAGAAGUGAUCGUGAUCAGUACGGUAACCUCAAUUCCCUCUCGAAAUCCUCUCUAUCGCUCUCCACAGAUCUCCCUCUUGCUCUCAAACUUAUUCUCAGAAAUGAGAACCGUGACCUCCAUUCCUCUCUCAAAAUCUUUGUCCAUCCUAUUGUGCUCUCUCUCUCUCUCUCUCUCGAACUACCCUAACCCUUUGGUAUUCUUUUGAAAAGUUGCUUUGCAUCGGUUGUCGUUGGAAGCAAGGAUACGGACAACAUAGUUGCUGAGGACAAAACGGCUAUUGUCGAGGAAGUUCUGGUUCUGGUCAAAGCCAUCAACGACGGAUCGAUGAAAGGGAAGGAAUUCGCAGUCUUAACGCUUCUGCAACUCUGUGUGGACAGUGUUCGGAACAGGGGUUUGCUUGUAAAGGAAGGUGGAAUCCCUCCGUUGGUCGCUCUCUCAUAGUCAGGAAGUGCCCGAGCGAAGCACAGGGCUGAAACAUUACUUGGGUAUCUGAGAGAACCAAGGCAAGAGGCAUCCUCUUCUAAUCCUGUGGAGAGGUACAAUCUUACGUAGCUGCACAACUUUAAAGAUCAAUAUUAGCAAUUACUAUAUAUUUGGCACUGAGAAGAGGGUUAUUUCUUUGGGUUGGCACCAAUAGGUUCAGAGAGCAUUUGGGAUGGAGUUUUUUUUUUUAUCAUUGCUUUUUGUACUAUGUUUGUAGAAAAUGUAAUGAAACAAAUGGAUUUAUGAUUGUAUACAUUUUAGUUUUUAAAAGUUGAAUGAAAACAAUGAAUUCUUAUGUCC